GACGAACGCUGGCGGCGUGCUUAACACAUGCAAGUCGAACGGAAAGGCCCUGCUUGCUGGGUACUCGAGUGGCGAACGGGUGAGUAACACGUGGGUGAUCUGCCCUGCACUUCGGGAUAAGCCUGGGCAACUGGGUCUAAUACCGGAUAGGAGCCAUUUUUAGUGUGAUGGUUGGAAAGUUUUUUCGGUGUUGGAUGAGCUCGCGGCCUAUCAGCUUGUUGGUGGGGUAAUGGCCUACCAAGGCGGCGACGGGUAGCCGGCCUGAGAGGGUGGACGGCCACAUUGGGACUGAGAUACGGCCCAGACGCCUACGGGAGGCAGAAGUGGGGAAUAUUGAACAAGGGGCGCAAGCCUGAUGCAGCGAGGCCGCGGGGGGGAUGACGGCCUUCGGGUUGAAAACUCCUUUCGCUAGGGACGAAGCUUUUUGUGACGGUACCUAGAGAAGAAGCACCGGCUAACUACGUG
rnacentral:rRNA from 1 species